GGGGAAUUUUGGACAAUGGGGGCAACCCUGAUCCAGCCAUUCCGCGUGAGUGAAGAAGGCCUUCGGGUUGUAAAGCUCUUUCAGCUGGAACGAAACGGUACGCUCUAACAUAGCGUGCUAAUGACGGUACCGGCAGAAGAAGCACCGGCUAACUACGUGCCAGCAGCCGCGGUAAUACGUAGGGUGCGAGCGUUAAUCGGAAUUACUGGGCGUAAAGCGUGCGCAGGCGGAUUGUUAAGCAAGAUGUGAAAUCCCCGGGCUUAACCUGGGAAUGGCAUUUUGAACUGGCAGUCUAGAGUGCGUCAGAGGGGGGUGGAAUUCCACGUGUAGCAGUGAAAUGCGUAGAGAUGUGGAGGAACACCAAUGGCGAAGGCAGCCCCCUGGGAUGACACUGACGCUCAUGUACGAAAGCGUGGGUAGCAAACA
rnacentral:rRNA from 1 species